rnacentral:rRNA from 1 species
GAUGAACGCUAGCGGCAGGCCUAAUACAUGCAAGUCGAACGGUGUAGCAAUACACAGUGGCGCACGGGUGCGUAACACGUAUGCAACCUACCUUACAUUGGGGGAUAGCCUUUCGAAAGGGAGAUUAAUACCGCAUAAGACAGUAACUGGGCAUCUAGUAGCUGUUAAAGAUUUAUCGAUGUAAGCUGGGCAUGCGUCCAAUUAGUUAGUUGGUGAGGUAACGGCUCACCAAGACGAUGAUUGGUAGGGGAACUGAGAGGUCGAUCCCCCACACUGGCACGGAGAUACCGGCCAGACUCCUACGGGAGGCAGCAGUAGGGAAUAUUGGGCAAUGGGCGCAAGCCUGACCCAGCCAUGCCGCGUGCAGGAAGAAGGCGUUAUGCGUUGUAAACUGCUUUUAUACAGGAAGAAACGACCCUUGCGAGGGGCAUUGACGGUACUGUAUGAAUAAGCACCGGCUAACUCCGUGCCAGCCGCCGCAGUAACAC